rnacentral:rRNA from 1 species
AACGAACGCUGGCGGCAUGCCUAACACAUGCAAGUCGAACGAGAUCUUCGGGUCUAGUGGCGCACGGGUGCGUAACGCGUGGGAAUCUGCCCUUUGGUUCGGAAUAACAGUUGGAAACGACUGCUAAUACCGGAUGAUGACGAAAGUCCAAAGAUUUAUCGCCAGAGGAUGAGCCCGCGUAGGAUUAGCUAGUUGGUGUGGUAAAGGCGCACCAAGGCGACGAUCCUUAGCUGGUCUGAGAGGAUGAUCAGCCACACUGGGACUGAGACACGGCCCAGACUCCUACGGGAGGCAGCAGUGGGGAAUAUUGGACAAUAGGCGAAAGCCUGAUCCAGCAAUGCCGCGUGAGUGAUGAAGGCCUUAGGGUUGUAAAGCUCUUUUACCCGGGAUGAUGAUGACAGUACCGGGAGAAUAAGCUCCGGCUAACUCCGUGCCAGCAGCCGCCGUAA